rnacentral:misc_RNA from 1 species
UGCGAUUCGCGUUCUAUCGUCGCUACACGCGUUGCUGAGGCUCCGCGCGCCGCGAUUCGCUUUGUGGUUAACGCGACAAUAACAUUUACCGACAAUGAGAAGAUAGCCCUCGGGGUGCUGCAGGGCUGAUAAGGCAUUCUCAUCACUUUAUUCGAAACUCUGACGAACCCCAUCCCACCCCCUUGGCUGUAACAAAAAAUUCAAUUCGAGUUCUACUGCUUUUGAUAGGUCGAGGACGGCCCUGGAUAUCGGACCAUCUUCGAUCUUCCCUCAACCAAUUUCCAACGUUCGAGUUUAUACACGGAUCUGGUUUCCCGCAGCAGCACAUCAAUUAUUAUUCGAGGUCAAAUGAGUGACGUGAGUUGAUUAAAAUUAGAACCUUGAGCUUGAUUUUGUUUUUGAAUACUUUCAAUUAUUCCUGCAUCGCCGCGUUAUCGCCAGACAAUUUUUUUUUUCUUUUUCUUUUAAAUCUUUAUGUGUUCAUUUGUAUUUUUCAUCAAUGUUUUUAUUAUAAACAAAAAAGCGUUAUUUUAAUUUAGAUGAUUUUUUUUACAGCGUUGCAUAAGUGUUAAUAAAAAGCUUACGAUAGAAACAUAGGUAUUCAAUAUAUCUAUGAUAGAAAUGUAUAUAUGCGUAAAAUUUAAGCGAAGGUGUCGGUCAUUUAUACUUCACAUAAACAUAGGUAAAUCAUAGUUACAGUCAACAGUCAAGAUGCCACAACGUCAUAUUGUGUGCUGCAAUAAUGGAG